UUUCCAUUAUCUCAAGCAAAAACAAAGAGUUCAAAAUAUUGGUGGUAAGAACUGUCAAAAACUUGUGAUAGCUAUGAUGAAAAGUUUUAUGACAAAUUCACUCAUGGUCAAAUUUAAUAUGGCAG
rnacentral:lncRNA from 1 species